CUCACGCUGCACUCCACUCACGACUGGUGGGGUCACAUUUACGACCAGAGCCCAUACCCGAUGCGGAUUGGUAAUGGCCAGUGGGGUGCGUACCUCCACGUCAAACGAUCUGGUACACCUGAUGGCUCCAAUGCAGCUGUUGUGUAUCGCGGCAAGAACGAUGGUGGAGACGACACUGACUCGCUGCUCUUCUGGGACAACCCCUGGAAUAAGGCAUCUUACAGCAACCAGGUAAUUAGUGUUUGGUAUUGCAUAGUAUGUAUGCAUGCAUGCAUUUAAAUGCGUAUGCUUACGUUAUAGAUUUCAUAAAACAUAUCAUAUGCAUGCGCAGGCCUAUGCUGAGAUCAAUCAAGCUGGCUACUACGAUAACAUCGAUUGGGGAGUCAUCGCUGGUAAAGGCUCCAACGCCGGCCCCCAGUAUCGCGCGGCUUGGAAAGGAUGUGUGUCAACCGUCGUGAUCGAAAGUGGCACCACUGCCAAAUUCGAAGCCACACUUACGUUCGAAUAGAGAUUAUGCGUAAAACUUAACUAGUAUGUGGGCAGUCGGUUUGUGUGUGAGACGUGGAAUAAAUAAAUUAGGCAAAGAAGUUUGUGUGUAGAAUAAAGCCUUCAUCUUGAGGAAGGCGUUUAGCAAUAAUAUUCUGUAUCCUCUGUUGGUGUGUCCGUAAUAAAUUAAGCAUUGGUCAACGAGUAUUUUGUCGAUUUAAGUGAUCCAUGGGUUUGCCGAUAGCUCAAGUGAUCCUCCGUGCCAGAAUAUUGACACCAUAUACUGUUAGAGCUAGCCUCAGAAGAUUUACCAAAGGGUAAUUUUGACAAUCCAACAAAGAUAAUAAAACGGAAGAAUAAAAACAACAAGAACACCUAUUUACGUGGUUUGGUCAAUUGAUCUUAACCUACAUCCACGAACGAAAGAGGAGCAUAUUACUACUAUAAAAGGGACAAUUAUAAAUGCCUUAGGAAGAUGAUCUUAGGCCAUAAAAUACUCGAAAAUACUAAACAAGAAAAAACUCAAUCUAUAAGCCCAAACUAUUUAACUGAGUGUGGACUUAAACCCAAAGCAAACACUUAGGUUUUUCUUGUGGUGCUACUUAUGGUGCCUCUAAUUUCGAAACCCAGACCUCUAUUUAUAGUUCCAAUAGGAAAUAACAAGCCUGAUUUUCCCGAUGUGGGACUAUGGGACAUGCCAAACUAACAUAUACUUAUCAACAUUGCCACUAACAUAUUAUCGUAUAUGCUUAAAAUAGCCAUGACCAAAACCAAAUUAGACAAUCUCUAAUUUGAUUUCAUGGAGAGUUGAAUAUGCUAAUCUUCCUUCUAAACAGACGCUUUUUUGAGACCUAACUAACAUAAGCUAAGUUUGAACAAAUAGUUAUCUACAAAGAAACAUCAACGACGCCUCUCACCAUUCCAUCACAGAUGGUGCGUUCUGCUUCGACGAUGAAAUCUACAAAUUGUUCUUCCUACUCCAGCGAGAGAGCGCAAAGAAAACCCGAUCUUAUUCUCUUACCUUACAAGUUUCAUAUUUCUUACUUCUUUUCUUGCUCGAAUUUUCCUCUUUGCUAGCAUGUCUUUGUUGAUGUGGAGUCCCAUCAGAAGAGCUUCAUACUCAGCUUCGUUAUCGUCUACUUUGAACCCAAAGCAAAGAGAAUGCUCAAAUAUUUUCUCGUAAGGACUUGUAGGACAAGCCCUGCACCUCCCGCUUAAGCAAUUGUAGACCCGUCAAUGUAGAGGACCCAAAGUUGAGAAUCGAUAAGUGGCUCAUAUGUUGUCAUCAUCUACAUGAUGAAGUCAGCCAGGGCCUAAGCUGUUAUAGCGAUGCGAACUCACUAAGUUCGACUUACCAUUUCAGGAUGCAUUCAGUGGCAUCGGCCUUUGACAAGAUUUGUCACAUGAGUUGAUCCGUCAUCACAAUGAUACGAUGAGAUUGGAAGUAUGGUCCAAGUUUCCUUGCAAACAGGAUCGGGGCGUAUGUGAGUUUCUCAAAGUUUAGGAAUCGAGUUUAUAAGUCUUGCUGGACAUGACUCAAAUAUACUGAUCUUUGAUCAAGAUGGACCUUACUACCAUUGAUGUCGCUAAGAGGAACAAUUAUAGUUGCUCUCUGAGGCUAGGGCUAGACAAUUGGGGUGGUGCAGCCAAGUAUCCCUUGAACUGUUCAAAAGUUGUCUAGCACUAUUUGAUCCAUUGAAAAUUUUUGGUCACUUCAGGAUCUUCAAAAAUGAUGAGCAUCGAUUGCUUGUUUAGAAAGGAAGCAGCUUAGAGCUAUAAUAUGCCCGAUUAACUACUGUACUUCCGUUAUGAAUGUCCUAAGCUUUAUAUUGAGGAUGGCAUGUGCUUUUUCUGGGCUAAUAUCAAUUGAGGAUGGCAUGUACCAACCCCAAAGUCAUGUGUCGCUAGACUAAUUCAAAUCAAAAAAAUUGAGUAUGACAAAUGUCUUGUCCAAAUCGACUAGAUGAACCAUAAAAAACAAAAACUUUUCGAAGCCAACCCACCAACUUGUGACUAGCAUAUCGUCAACAUAUACCUCCAUGUUUUUCCUUAUCUAGGGUCGAAACAUCUUAUUCUAUUGUCCCAACGUUCUUGAAUUUGAAAGGUAUGACCUUGUAGUAAUAUAAUCGUUGUUCAGUGAUUAAGGAAGUAUGUUCUUCGUGUCUUUGGGUGCUAUCUUGAUUUGAUUGUAAAGAAAAAAGAUUCCAUGAAAGUAAGCAACUCAUGGCUAAAGGUCACAUCGACCAACUGAUCAAUUCGAGGCAAAUGAUAGUUAUUCUUUGGAUAAACUUUAUUAAUAUCGAUUUAGUCGACACGCAUACAUCAUUUUUCAAUAUUAUUUUUCACACGAACGAUAUUAGCGAAGUACAUUGCUAUGACAGAGGCGGCACAAGAGGGAGUAUGGAUGAAAAAGUUCAUCACAGAUCUAGGAGUCAUGCCAAGCAACGAGAAGUCGAUUCCCUUAUAUUGCGAUUACAACGGAAUGAUUGCUCAAAUAAGGGAACACAGGUAUCCUCAUAAGUGUUAUAAGGAGGUUCCAGCUUGUUAGAGAGAUCGUGGCCCGAGAAGUUGUAGCAGCGGAAAGAGUUCCAUCCGAAGAUAAAAUCGUAGAUCCACUAACAAAGCCAUUGUCUCAUGUUAUUUUUUAACGUCAGAGGGGUCUAAUGGCGAAAAGACACAUAGGUGAUUAGCUUUAGGUCAAGUGGGAGAUUGCUAGUUAUAGGUGCCCUGCAAGCCAAUCACGUGUGACAUGAUACGCAAUCUUUUUCCUUAUUAUAUUUUGACAUUUCUAUCGAUUUAUAUUGCUUGUUGCGUAUAUGCAUAUAUUGUCCAUGGAUUUGUGCAAUGGGAAUCGGAUCAUGAUGAGAUCAUGAUACUAAGAUUGAGUCACCUUUAAACACAGACCUUAAAUAAUCAUGGUCAUAGGUUACUCGAGAGGGACAUCGAGAUAAUCGGAUAGACUGAUGUGUUGUAUACCCGUCCAUAUAAUGGAGGUAGUUGGUCUCAUAGUUGCUCGUGUGGGGACACUAAAGAUACAGUGCAGGUGCUCAUUGGAGAAUGAGUUCACUGAUUGAUCCGCUCAUGGAAUACUAGAUGAUUGAUGAUGCCUUACUAUCAAACAGCGAUUUCAUAGUCCUAGUAGUGUAUAUGGUCCGUAGACUUGAGACACCAAGGAUGUCCUAUAUGAGUACUCCACUCUUUGAUACCAGACUUAUAGGAUUCGAAGUUCCAAAUCUAGUACUACCGGUUAAUGGGAGUGGUAGCUAACCUUAUGAGGGUUAUUGAGUAUCAAUAGAGGAUCAUUCGCGCUCGAUAUCAUGAGUAGAAUAUCUUGUGUAUUCUUGCUCAAACAAAUUUUUAGCCAAGGUAAUUCGGAUCGAGAGAGAAAGAGUUCUCCGAGAGAAUUCGAUUAGAGCGAGACUUGAGGAGAAACUGUAUGGGCCUGAUAGCACCAUGCCCGGUAUAUGGUCUUUGGAUAUUAGAUGAUUGAGGGAUUAUAGGUACAUGGUAACUGAGAACAGAUAUGUUCAAAGGAUUGGAUUCUCCUAUAUCGUCUAGGGACUAUUGCGUAGUGACUUAGUAUGUCCGUAAUCGAUGAGUCUACUGAAUUAUUAUAGAAAUUUAUUAUGUAAAUAAUAAUUUACUAAGCCAAAAGGAGUUCUGACAUGUAUGACUCACGGCCAGCUCGAUAUUUGGCCUAGAGAAUCACACACGUAUGAUAGGUGUUACGACGAGUAGAGAUUCGGAUAUUAGAUAUCCGUUAGGGCCCCUAUCUUAUUGGAUAUCCAAUAAACCUCUGAAUUAUUGGAUCCCAUGGAUGAGUUCCAAUAACAUAUAAUAAGAGAUUAUUGGGUAGAGACCCACUAAUCUAAAAGGCUUGGGUAAUUAGAUGGAGAUCUAGUACCUAAUAAGGUAGGAUCCAUUAGGGUUAACUAGGGGCCUUUAUAAAUAGGAGGGAACUAAAGGACCAUAGUCUGGGGCUUCUAAGUUUUCACAUCCUAUUCUCCUCUCCCUUUUCCUCCUCAAAUAGUAGCCGUGCAGAUUUGAGGAGCAUCGUUGUAGCCUUGUUGUGUGGAUCACCGCUAGGGAGGAGGACGAUUAACCUCCUCCAUCUACUCCUAUAGAUCUGUAGGGAUUCAGGGAUAUACGAUCUUCCUAGGUAAAACAAUUAUCUCACACGUGGUUUUCUGUGUCGCGGGUUUUGCGCACUAAUCUUCGCACGAUGAUGAACACCUUUUGGAAAAUUUAGGAUUUUCGUUUUAUGUUCUUCCGCUGCGCAUGUGAUGCCGCCCCUAUAUUUUCCUACAAUACGAUCUCCCUAGUUAACACAUUGUUCAUAUAUAUGCAGUUUUUCUAUUUCAUAUUUUUUGCACACCAAUCUUCACACGACGAUGAGAAAUUAUUUUCUGUGGGAAAUAUAAUAUUUUUGUUUUCUGUUCUUUCACUGUGCAUAUGAUGUUGCCCCAGGUUUCCUAAUAGCUAUGGUAUAUAAGUGGCCAUGAUUUGGAAAAUCCCAAUCAAGAACUGAACUUGUUGACUUAGGUUGUGGAAAGUUUUUUUUGAGUAUAGGUGUGUUUUGGGUUGAUGAAGCUAAAGGUUGGGCAUGUGGUGGGUGGACCGUUGAAUCUUGGAAUAAUCGACGGAAGAGUAGGGAUCGAGCAAUUGGAAAGCUGGAGGAACGGGUCCAACCGAAAGAUCGGGCUGAACCCCAAGGAGGAUCGAGACUUGCGGGUUCGACAAUGGUGCAUUUGGUACAAUCUAGCUCGGACCUCCUCCCGACCUUUUUGGCCCAUUCAUCUCUUCAUGAUUUAACCCGAAUGGUCCUGCAAAAUUUCCCAGAGACAUCCAGGAAAGCCCUCCUUCGAGCCCCAUUAUGUUAGUUUAUAUUUGGGCUAUCUGAGUUGGAGUGGAAACUAGGAUCUAUUUAAGGUCCUUUCCGUGUUAGUCUUAGUCCAGGGCAUAGUGAAGUGUCGAACUUGCCAAAACUAAAUCGAUGAUAUUUCUGAUAAAAGCCUCAUCCGACGAUCAAGUUAGUUCCGAGUUUGAACUAUUCGAACGGCUACGAUGAGAAUUGUUUAGUUCUAGAAGCGUGCCAGGUCCAGUUGGAAGGGAACGUGCGCAGCUCUCAGGUUUAAUCUUGGAGUCGUGCCCAUCGUAUUUGAUCGACGUGGCCUUGAUCGAUUUCCGUGUUGGCUAUGCGUUGUCAAGUGGUGCUGAUGUGCGUCUAGAUCCGAUCAUCGUUUGUCGAUCAUGCAUGACCGCCGUGGUCGUGGCUGAUCAACGCGUCAAUCACACGUUGUCACAUGAAAUCUACCAUGCCAUUCUUUACCUCAGCAGGAAUAUUCAUUUAUAUUUAUCUAUUAAAAGUCUGAAGCCAUUAUAUUCUACUGCACUUGAUCACUGAGAUCAUGCAGGGAAGGGAAGGUAAUAAUGGAAUCAGAUUCCCAAAGUUAAAUGUAGAAGCCAAGUCCCCAUCCAUCCGUACGAUGCCGUCGGGAUGUGGGUGGAUAUCUGCAACACGCAACCUAAAUAAAAUAAUAGGAAUGUCGGAGGAAUAGUCGUACGAAGGCAUUGGCCGUAUUUGGUAUGCCAAUAUGAAUGGUGCGGAAAGCAUUUAGUGGACCCAGCAGAGUCGGGUGGAAUGGACUGGACCGCAACGUGAAUAUUGCGGAAUGCAAGGAGCCCGAGAAGUUGCUUUGGAUAAGCUUUAUUAUCCAUUACUAAGUUCCCUCGCUCCUAAGUUAGUCGAAAACUUCAAAGUCAUAUAGUAGAUUCAGACAACUAAGUUAGACAACUAUGAAUGGUGCGGAAAGCAUUUAGUGGACCCAGCAGAGUAUGGGUUGAAUGGACUGGACCGCAACGUGAAUAUUGCGGAAUGCAACGAGAGGUCGCAUCGAUCAACUGAUCAAUUCGAGACAAAUGAUAGUUAUUCUUUGGAUAAGCUUUAUUAAUAUCGAUUUAGUCGACACGUAUAUAUUAUUUUUUAAUAUUAUUUUUCACAUGAACUAUAUUAGCAAAGUACAUUGCUGUGACAGAGGCAGCAAAGGAGGGAGUAUGGAUGAAAAAGUUCAUCACAGAUCUAGGAGUUGGACCGAGCAACGAGAAGUCGAUUCCCUUAUAUUGCGACUACAACGGAACGAUUGCUCAAAUAAGGGAACUAGAGUCUUCUCAUAAGUGUUAUAAGGAGGUUCCAACUUGUUAGAGAGAUCGUGGCCCGAAAAUAUGUAGUAGUGGAAAUAGUUCCAUCCGAAGAUAAAAUCGUAGAUCCACUAACAAAGUCAUUGUCUCAUAUUGUUUUUUAGCGUCAGAUGGGUCUAAUGGCGAAAAGACACAUAGGUGAUUAGUUUUAGGUCAAGUGGGAGAUUGCUAGUCAUAGGUGCCCUGUAAGCCAAUCACGUGAGUGAUGACACGUGUGAUAUGAUACGCAUUAUUUUUUUCUUAUUAUAUUUUGACAUUUUUAUCGCUUUAUAUUACUUGUUGCAUGUAUGCAUAUAUUGUCCAUGGAUUUGUGUAAUGGGAAUCGGAUCGUGAUGAGAUCAUGAUAUUGAGACCGAGUCGUCUUUAAACACGGACCUUAAAUAAUAAUGGUCAUAGGUUACUCGAGAGGAAGAUCGAGAUAAUCGAAUAGACUGAUGUGCUAUAUACCCGUUCAUAUAAUGGAGGUAGCUGGUCUCAUAGUUGCUCGUGUGGGGACACUAAGGAUAUAGUGCAGGUGCUCAUUGGAGAAUGAGUUCACUGAUUGAUACGCUCAUGAAAUACUGGAUGGUUGAUGAUGCCUUAUUGUCAGACAACGAUUCCAUAGUCCUAGUAGUGUAUCUGGUCCAUAGACUUAAGAUACCAAUGAUGUCCUGUAUGAGUACUCCACUCUUUGAUACCGAACUUAUAGGUUUGGAAGUUCCAAAUCUAGUACAAUCGGUUAUUGGCCACUCUUUGAUACCAGACUUAUAGGUUUGGAAGUUCCAAAUCUAGUACAACCGGUUAUUGGAAGUGGCAACUAACCUUAUGAGGGUUAUUGAGUGCCGAUAGAGGAUCAUUCGCGCUCAGUAUCACGAGGAGAAUAUCCUGUGUAUUAUUGCUUAAACAAAUCUUUAGCCAAGGUAAUUCGGAUUGAGAGAGAAAGAGUUCUUCGGGAGAAUUCGAUUAGAGCGAGACACGAAGAGAAACCGUAUGGGCCUAAUAGCACCAUGCCCGGUAUAUGGUCUUUGGAUAUUAUAUGGUUGAGGGACCAUAGGUACACGGUAACUGAGGACAGAUAUGUCUAAAGGAUUGGAUUCCCCUGUAUCGUUUGGGAAUUGCUGCGUAGUGGUAUAGUACGUCCGUAGUCGAUGAGUCGAGUGAAUUAUUAUGAAAAUAAUAAUUUACUAAGCCAAAAGGAGUUCUAAUAUGUAUGACUCACGGCCAGCUCGAUAUUUGGCCUAGAGGGUCACAUACAAAUGAUAGGUGUUGCGACGAGUAGAGGUUCGGAUACUAGAUAUCCAUUGGAGCCCCGAUCUUAAUAGAUAUCCAAUAAACCCCUGAAUUAUUGGAUCCCAUGGAUGAGUUCCAAUAACAUCUAAUAAGAGAUUAUUGGGUAGAGACCCACUAAUCUAAGAUGCUUGGGUAAUUAGAUAGAGAUCUAGUACCCAAUAGGGCAGGAUCCAUUAGGGUUAACUAGGGGGGCCUUUAUAAAUAGGAGAGAACUAAAGGCCCAUAGUCUGGGGCUUCUGAGUUUCCACAUCCUAUUCUCCUCUCCUCUUUUCCUCCUCAGAUAGCAGGCUUGCAUAUUUGAGGAGCGUCGUUGUAGCCUUGUUGUGUGGAUCACCACUAGGGGUGAGGACGCUUAACCUCCUCAAUCCACUCCUAUAGAUUUGUAGGGAUUCAGGAAUAUACGAUCUCCUUAGGUAACACAACUAUCUCACACGUGGUUUUAUGUGUCGCGGGUUUUGCGCAUUAAUCUUCGCACGACGAUGAACACCUUUUGAGAAAUUUAGGAUUUUCGUUUUAUGUUCUUCCGCUAUGCAUGUGAUGCUGCCCCUAUAUUUUCCUACAACACGAUCUCCCUAGUUAACACGUUGUUCAUAUACGUGCAGCUUUUCUAUUUCAUAUUUUUUUGCACAUCAAUCUUCAUAGGACGAUGAGAAAUUAUUUUCUACGGGAAAUAUGAUAUUUUUAUUUUUUGUUCUUCCACUCUGCAUAUGAUGUUGCCCCAGGUUUCCCAAUAGCUAUGACUUAGGUUGUGGAAAGUUUUUUUUUUUUAGUAUAGUUGUGGUUUGGGUUGAUGAAACUAAAGGUUGGGCAUGUGGCGGGUGGACCGUUGAAUCUUGGAAUAAUCGACUGAAGAGUAGGGNNNNNNNNNNNNNNNNNNNNAUCGAGCAAUUGGAAAGCUGGAGGAACGGGUCCAACCGAAAGAUCGGGCUGAACCCCAAGGAGGAUCGAGACUUGCGGGUUCGACAAUGGUGCAUUCGGUACAAUCCAGCUCGGACCUCCUCCUGACCUUUUUUGGCCCGUUCAUCUCUUCAUGAUUCAACCCGAAUGGUCCUACAAAAUUUCCCAGAGACAUCCAGGAAAGCCCUCCUUCGAGCACCAUUAUGUUAGUUUAUAUUCGGGUUAUCCGAGCUGGAGUGGAAACUAGGAUCUAUUUAAGGUCCUUUCCGUGUUAGUCUUAGUCCGGGGCAUAGUGAAGUGUUGAACUUGGCAAAACUAAAUCGAUGAUAUUUUUGAUAAAAGACUUAUCUGACGACCAAGUUAGUUCCGAGUUUAAACUGGUCGGACUAUUCGAACGGCUCGGAUGAGAAUUGUUUAGUUCUAGAAGCGCGCCAGGGUCAUUUUAUAAGUGUUCACGGAGAUCAUUAUGUCCAGGAUCAUCAGUUGGAAGGGAACGUGCGCGGCUCUCAGGUUCAAUCUUGGCGUCGUGCCCAUCGUAUUUGAUCGACGUGGCCUUGAUCGAUUUCCGUGUUGGCUAUGCGUUGUCAAGUGGUGCUGAUGUGCCUCUAGAUCCGAUCAUCGUUUGUCGAUCAUGCAUGACCGACGUGGUCGUGGCUGAUCAACGCGUCAAUCACACGUUGUCACAUGAAAUCUACCAUGCCAUUCUUUACCUGUCAGCAGGAAUAUUCAUUUUUAUUUAUCUAUUAAAAGUCUGAAGCCAUUAUAUUCUACUGCACUUGAUCACUGAGAUCAUGCGGGGAAGGGAAGGUAAUAAUGGAAUCAGAUUCCCAAAGUUAAAUGUAGAAGCCAAGUCAGUAGGAUGUGUUUCAUGUCCCCAUCCAUCUGUCGGAGGCCGUCGGGAUGUGGGUGGAUAUCUGCAACACGCAACCUAAAUAAAAUAAUAGGUAUUUCGGAGGAAUAGUCGUACGAAGGAAUUGGCCGUAUUUGGUAUCCCAAUAUGAACGGUGCGGAAAGCAUUUAGUGGACCCAGCAGAGUAUGGGUGGAAUGGACUGGACCGCAACGUGAAUAUUGCGGAAUGCAAGGAGCCGCCCACUCGUAAACGUGCGUGGGUGUUUUUCCAUCGACACCAAGCGAGCGAGGUAAGAGUGUGUUGUUGAGUCUAGACACCCAUAGCAUGGUAAACAAAGUGUUCGGUGACCAAUAAUUCAUCGUGGGUCCCUACAAUUGUGUCGAGGUGUGGCUGGAUAUCUGCAACACGCAAUAUACUGACUGGAUACCAACGUGAAUAUUGCGGCGGAAUGCAAUUAGUGGCCCACAGCAAAACCCAUAACAAGCUCGUUGGUACGCUAUAUAUACCUAACCCUGCGUGUGUGUUUUUCCAUCAACAGUAAGCGAGGGAGGUAAGAGAAGUGUUUGUGGAGUCCCGACAUGGCAAACAAUGUGUUCGGUGACGCCAUCAACACCGAAUUCGAAAUCCUCGGCAAUGCGAACAAUGUGUUCGGCGACCCCAUCACCGACGAAACCUUGGAGGGAAACACGGAGUACGCGAAGAAGCUACGCAAACUCAGAGUCGCCAUGGCUCUCGACACACAGAUGGAAGGUAAUAAGUAUGAGAGUGCUCUCAAAUACGUGCGUGAGAUGAAGGAGCGAUGGGGGACCGGCGUCUCCACACUCUGCCUGGUUUACAAUGCUACUGGGGAGCCACUCACGCUGCACUCCACUCACGACUGGUGGGGUCACAUUUACGACCAGAGCCCAUACCCGACUCAGAUUGGUAAUGGCCAGUGGGGUGCGUACCUCCACGUCAAACGAUCUGGUACACCUGAUGGCUCCAAUGCAGCUGUUGUGUAUCGCGGCAAGAACGAUGUUGGAGACGACACUGACUCGCUGCUCUUCUGGGACAACCCCUGGAAUAAGGCAUCUUACAGCAAC
rnacentral:lncRNA from 1 species